AUUUGGAGCUGAGGAUCCGCAGAAUCGUGGUUUGACAAGGCCGCAGCCCCAGCCCAUAUUUCUCCAGCGCCCAUUCGGCCAAUUCCAUUUGGGUUAGCAGAGGAUUGGCCUCUGAAUGAAGACAGAUUUCGAUUUUCUGCUUGAUAUUAUAGCCCAUGAUGUUUUUAUUACACUUUUUAUUAUAGCGUGUAUGUGUGUGGGUGACGUUAAAGGACUGGAAUGUAUAGUAGAUAAUUAGUCAAAACAGUUGAGGAUGUCAAUUAGUUAAAACCAAUCAGUUCAAGAUUAAGAUUUGGGUCGGAGAUGUUCUUUGGUUCAAUGGAGAUAUCUAAUAUAUGCUUGGUAAUACUAUUUUACUUUCUGGUGUGGAGUCAUUAAGUGGAAUGGGUGAGAGUAGGUGUGAAUCGUGUGAUGUUGUCAUGCAGCGCUGCCUGCAGGACUCGGGUGAGUGCCCUCCAAAACCAUGUACAGAGUCUUAGGGGAAUCGAAUUUGAGAAUUUGAGCUUGAAGUAUUGAGGAAAAGGAAAUCCCAAGUUUUUGGGAAUUUUUAGCUUGUGGUUGGCUAUUUGUGCUGCCUGGUGUGCUAAACAGAUGUGGUGUGCUAAGUGCAUAUUCGCAGUAUGCGCUUACGAUGCGAUGUGCACUCAACUCACUUGCUAUGGGCAUUUACCUUCAAAAUGACUUAUAAAGGACCCUUUAAAAUUCCUUAAGUUAAUACAUUCUGACUGUUGUCUUAAGCACACUAAAAAAUGAUAACAUAUUUAUUGGCGUGGGGAAUGUUCAUUAGGGAUGACUCUCAAGGUGUGUUUUCAGGCAUAUAGCACCAUGAGCAGAGUAAACAAACACCAAUACACAUGUAUGAAAACAUAAGAGCAAAGUCAGGUAAUUUAAGAAUAUCUAGUUUAUUGAUAGAUAAUGAGUUGAUGGAAAAAAGUGAAAUAAUAGAAUCAGCGAUGGGGGACUUAGAUUUGCUCAUCACUCAAUAAUAACAAUAAUAAUUAUUAUAUGGACACGAGCCCUGAGCAUCCACUCACUUCCACUUGACCCCAAUGGAAAACUAAUUGUUUAACUUAAAAAGAUAAAGAACUCCUUGAUGUAUGAUUUCAGAUUCCUAAUAUAUCAGAAAUGAAAAAAAAAAACAAAAAAAACAAUGGUAUGAAUUUGAGCUCAUAGUUGUUAGAUUCUUGUUGUAACGUUUGUACUAAGUUAUCUAUAUUCGUUGAUGAUUCCUCCUAUUUUUCAAAAUUAUUCAAACCAGCGUGACAAAACUAUUCAAACCAGCGUGACAAAAUGUUUCAAACCAGCGUGACAAAAUGGUUCAAACCAAGAAGACAGAAUGGUUCAAACCAAAUGGAGUAAUGUUUCACACCAACUUUUAUUAGAAUUCAAUAUUCUGAAAUCUUAAAUCUGGAGGAUUGCGUCAUAUGGUACUACAUUUGGGAGUCUUGCAGUACUAAUCAAGGGUGAAAUACGGACGGAACUGAACUGGUUUCAUUAUUAUCCUCUAUACAACAACUUGUCCAUAUGGUUUGAAAGACUAUGCGAAGGGGUACGAAACAUUUUGGCGCGCUAGUUUGAAUCAUUUUGUCGCGCUGGUCUGAAUCGUUUCGAAUAACACUGUACAGUAGAUUCUUACAUGUCAACAGUAAAUGAACAUGGGUAAGUCGAUCCUAACCUCCAAGCAUAACUGUUAAUGAAACAAUUUUUUGUUUUAGGGAGGGAAAGGGAAACUGGUUAAAAUUCCAGUACUUGGAUAUGGAAACGGUAACGUAAAGAAUGUGAAGACAUUGGAAUAAGUUCUGGAAAGAGUUUUCUUUUUUUUAUAACAUUCAAUAACCUUGGAAAUGGAUUAACCAGAGAGAAGGUUUGGGAAUGGAAUAGUCACGACUCGUUUGUGGCCCAGUGCACUUGUUACAAUCCUUGAAAAUUCUCAUAUCUAUGCAUGCCAAGUCGUACUCAUAUCCGCAGCAGGUCUCCAAGGUUAACAGCCUCUAGUUGAUGUAACAAAGUAGUUAAGGGAAGUCGGCAAAAUUGAUCCGUAACUUCGGGAUAAGGUUUGGCUGUGGUGGUCGGUCGGGCAAUAUGUGGUGGUGGUGGUUGACUUUCGGGUUUACUGCCUUGCCUCGCUCGACAAUCGACCGUAUCAGAACUGGUACGGACUUUGGGAAUCUGACUGUCUAAUUAAAACAUAGCAUUGCGAUGCUCCCAACGGACGUUGACGCAAUGUGAUUUCUGCCCAGUGCUCUGAAUGUCAAAGUGAAGAAAUUCAACCAAGCGUGGGGUAAAUGGCGGGAGUAACUAUGACUCUCUUAAGGUAGCCAAAUGCCUCGUCAUCUAAUAUUAGUGACGCGCAUGAAUGGAUUAACGAGAUUCCCACUGUCCCUAUCUACUCCGCGAAACCACAGCCAAGGGAACGAGCUUGGCAAAAUCAGCGGGGAAAGAAGACCCCGUUGAGCUCGACUCUAGUUUGACAUUGUGAAAAGGCAUGAAGGGUAUAGAAUAAGUGGGAGCUUCGGCGCCAGUGAAAUACCACUACCUCCAUCGUCUUUUGACUCAUGAAAGAAUUACUCCAAGUACAUUUUUUUUUAAAAUUCAGAAACUGUCUAAUGGGGAGUUUGACUGGGGGGGCACAUCUGUUAAAUAAUAACGCAGAUGUCCUAAGGGGCGGGCUCACGGAGAACAGAAAUCUCCAGUAGAAUAAAAGGGUAAAAGCCCCCUUGAUUUUGAUUUUCAGUGUGAUUACAAACCAUGAAAGUGUGGCCUAUCGAUCCUUUAUGUUUACCUCAGAAUUUGAGGCUAGAGGUGCCAGAAAAGCUACCACAGGUAUAACUGGCUUGUGGCAGUCAAGCGUUCAUAGCGACAUUGCUUUUUGAUUCUUCAAUGUCGGCUUUUCCUAUCAUACCGAAGCAGAAUUCGCUAAGCGUUGGAUUGUUCACCCACUAAUAGGGAACGUGAGCUGGGUUUAGACCGUCGUGAGACAGGCUAGUUUUACCCUACUGAUGGAUGAUUGUUACAAUAGUAAUUGAACGUAGAACUUAGUACGAGAGGAACCGUUCAUUCAGAUAAUUGGUAUAUGGCUUUGUUUGAUAAAGCAUUGAGCCGAAGCUACCAUCUGUUGGAUUAUGGUUGAAUGCCUCUAAGUCAAAAUCCAUGCUAGAAGUAAUGAUGUUUGAGUAGACUCAAAUUGCCUUAUGAGUGGUGGAAGACCCAUAUUCUAUCUUACACACCAUUGAAAUACAGUAGACAUGGACAUACAGUAGAACAUGGGCAUACAGU
rnacentral:rRNA from 1 species